rnacentral:rRNA from 1 species
AGAGUUUGAUCCUGGCUCAGGAUGAACGCUAGCGGCAGGCUUAAUACAUGCAAGUCGUACGGCAGCACGGGUAGCAAUACCUGGUGGCGAGUGGCGCACGGGUGCGUAACGCGUAUGCAACCUACCCUUAACAGAGACAUAACCUGGCGAAAGCUGGGCUAAUAUCUCAUGAGGUUAUAGAGGGGCAUCCCUAAAUAAUCAAAGCAGCGAUGUGGUUAAGGAUGGGCAUGCGUCCCAUUAGCUAGUUGGUGAGGUAACGGCUCACCAAGGCGACGAUGGGUAGGGGUUCUGAGAGGAAGGUCCCCCACACUGGUACUGAGACACGGACCAGACUCCUACGGGAGGCAGCAGUAAGGGAUAUUGGGCAAUGGUCGGAAGACUGACCCAGCCAUGCCGCGUGCAGGAAGAAGGCCCUAUGGGUUGUAAACUGCUUUAGCCAGGGGCUAAACCUACCGAUGCGUUGGUAGCUGAAGGUACCUGGAGAAUAAGCAUCGGCUAACUCCGUGCCAGCAGCCGCGGUAAUACGGAGGAUGCGAGCGUUAUCCGGAUUUACUGGGUUUAAAGGGUGCGCAGGCGGUUGUUUAAGUCAGGGGUGAAAGCCCUAUGCUCAACAUAGGGAUUGCCUUUGAUACUGAACGGCUAGAGUGAAGAUGGAGUGGGUGGAAUGUGUUGUGUAACGGUGAAAUGCAUAGAUAUAACACAGAACACCGAUCGCGAAGGCAGCUCACUAAUUUUCAACUGACGCUCAUGCACGAAAGCGUGGGGAUCAAACAAGGAUUAGAUACCCUGGUAGUCCACGCUGUAAACGAUGAUCACUAGCUGUUGGUACGCAGGAGUAUCAGUGGCUAAGCGAAAGUGAUAAGUGAUCCACCUGGGGAGUACGACCGCAAGGUUGAAACUCAAAGGAAUUGACGGGGGCCCGCACAAGCGGAGGAGCAUGUGGUUUAAUUCGAUGAUACGCGAGGAACCUUACCAGGGCUCGAACGCAGGGGGAAUAUACCUGAAAGGGUAUAGCCAGCGAUGGUCGUCUGCGAGGUGCUGCAUGGUUGUCGUCAGCUCGUGCCGUGAGGUGUCAGGUUAAGUCCUAUAACGAGCGCAACCCCUAUCCAUAGUUGCCAGCGGUUAAAGCCGGGGACUCUAUGGGAACUGCCUGCGCAAGCAGAGAGGAAGGAGGGGAUGACGUCAAAUCAGCACGGCCCUUAUGUCCUGGGCUACACACGUGCUACAAUGGUCGGUACAGAGGGCAGCGACCACGUGAGUGGGAGCCAAUCCUUAAAAGCCGAUCUCAGUUCGGAUUGGAGUCUGCAACCCGACUCCAUGAAGUUGGAUUCGCUAGUAAUCGCGCAUCAGCCAUGGCGCGGUGAAUACGUUCCCGGGCCUUGUACACACCGCCCGUCAAGCCAUGGGAGCUGGGGGUACCUGAAGUUCGUGACCCGCGAGGGAGCGACCUAGGGUAAACUCAGUGACUGGGGCUAAGUCGUAACAAGGUAGCCGUACCGGAAGGUGUGGCUGGAUCACCUCCUU